rnacentral:tRNA from 1 species
GUCGGGAUAGCACAUUUGGGAGAGCGUUAGACUGAAGAUCUAAAUGUCUAAGGUUCGUUUCAGGGUUCCGGCA